rnacentral:rRNA from 1 species
GAUGAACGCUGGCGGCGUGCCUAAUACAUGCAAGUCGAGCGAACAGACGAGGCUCUUGCUCCUCUCACGUUAGCGGCGGACGGGUGAGUCACACGUGUAUAACCUACCUAUCAGACUGGUAUAUCUUCGGAAAACCGGCUCUUAUACCAUAUAAUCUCUUGCACCACAUUGUUCAAUAGUGAAAGACGGUGUUUCUGUCUCUUAUCGAUGCAUCCCCGCCGGAUUAGCUAGUUGUUAAGGUAAUGGCUUACCAAGGCAACGAUGCGUAGCCGACCUGAGAGGGUGAUAGGCCACACUGGAACUGAGACACGGUCCAGACUCCUAAGGGAGGCAGCAGUAGGGAAUCUGCCGCAAUGGGCGAAAGCAUGACGGAGCAACGCCGCGUGAGUGAUGAAGGUCUUCGGAUCGUAAAACUCUGUUAUUAGGGAAGAACAAAUGUGUAAGUAACUAUGCACGUCUUGACGGUACCUAAUCAGAAAGCCACGGCUAACUACGUG